AGCCAGUCUCAGCAAUUUAGCAAGGCCUUAAACAACUUACACCCAGUUUCAAAAUUGAAAUAUAUGUGUGUGUGUGUGUGUGUGUAUACAUACAUACAUAUAUAUGAAAAGGGCUGGGAUGUGGCUCAAUAGUUUCCCAGAAAAAUAAAAGAGUCCUGAGCCAGGCAUGGUGGCCCAUGCCUAUAAUUCCAGUGGCUCUGGAGGAUAAGGCAGGAGGAUCAUAAGUCCAAAGUCAGCCUCAGCAACUUAGUGAGACCCUAACUCAAAAUUUGAAAAAAAGAAAUGGAGAUGUGACUCUGAUUAAGCAACCCUGUGUUCAAUUCCAGGUACCAAAAAAAAAAGGGCCUGGCCCAGUGGUACACACCUGUAAUCUCAGUGACUUGGGAGACUGAGGCAGGAGGACCAUGAAUUCAAAGCCAGCCUCAGCAAUUAGCGAAGCCCUAAGUAACUCAGACCCUGUCUUUACAAAAAAGAGCUGGGAAUGUGGCUCAGUGGUUAAGUGCCCCUUCAUGCAAUCCUUGGUACCAAAGGGGGAAAAAUAAGACUGAGAUCAAAGAAUAAAACACUGUAAAAUAUCUCAAGUAAAUUUUAAAAAUUUAUUACAUGUUGAAAUAAUAUACUUCAAAUGCAUUACAUUGAAUAAAACAUACUGUUUGGUUCCUUUUCCUUUUAGUCAUGGCUACUAAGAAAUUUUUUCCCCCAUUUGGGUGCAGGGAUUGAACCCAAGGGCACUUAAUCACUGGGCCACAUCCCCAGCCCAUUUUAUUUUUUGAGACAGGGUUUCACUAAGUUGCUUAGAACCUUCCCACAUUGCUGAGGCUGGCUUUGAACUUGCAAUCCUCCUGUCUCAGCCUCCCAAGCUCCUGGGAUUACAGGUGUGUGCCACUGUGCCUGGCUACUGUGAAAGCUUCAGUUUACACAUGGUUCCCAUUCUGUUCUGCUGGUCAGCCCAGGCAGAGGUCCUUUGGUGGGGAGAAGCACACUUUCUUUCAACAAAGUGCCUACUGUGUGCCUAACUCCAUCCUACAAACUAUUAAUAUAAGUGUAAAAGGACCAGGUACAGUGCCAUAGAGCUGGGAUCAC
rnacentral:lncRNA from 1 species